UACGUAGGGUGCAAGCGUUGUCCGGAAUUAUUGGGCGUAAAGAGCUCGUAGGCGGUUUGUUGCGUCGGCUGUGAAAUCCCGAGGCUCAACCUCGGGUCUGCAGUCGAUACGAGCAAACUAGAGUGUUGCAGGGGAGACUGGAAUUCCUGGUGUAGCGGUGAAAUGCGCAGAUACCAGGAGGAACACCGGUGGCGAAGGCGGGUCUCUGGGCAACAACUGACGCUGAGGCGCGAAAGCGUGGGGAGCAAACGGG
rnacentral:rRNA from 1 species